rnacentral:snRNA from 1 species
GUGCUCGGUUCAGCAGCACAUAUACUAAAAUUGGAACAAUACAAAGAAGAUUAUCAUGGCCUCUGUGCAAGGAUGACACACAAAUUCAUGAAGUGUUCCAGAUAUUU